GAGUUUGAUCCUGGCUCAGGAUGAACGCUGGCGGCGUGCUUAACACAUGCAAGUCGAACGAAGCUGCUUAUUUGAUUUUCUUCGGAACUGAAGAUUUGGUGACUGAGUGGCGGACGGGUGAGUAACGCGUGGGUAACCUGCCCUGUACAGGGGGAUAACAGUUAGAAAUGACUGCUAAUACCGCAUAAGACCACAGCACCGCAUGGUGCAGGGGUAAAAACUCCGGUGGUACAGGAUGGACCCGCGUCUGAUUAGCUGGUUGGUGAGGUAACGGCUCACCAAGGCGACGAUCAGUAGCCGGCUUGAGAGAGUGAACGGCCACAUUGGGACUGAGACACGGCCCAAACUCCUACGGGAGGCAGCAGUGGGGAAUAUUGCACAAUGGGGGAAACCCUGAUGCAGCGACGCCGCGUGAGUGAAGAAGUAUUUCGGUAUGUAAAGCUCUAUCAGCAGGGAAGAAAAUGACGGUACCUGACUAAGAAGCCCCGGCUAACUACGUGCCAGCCGCCGCGGUAAUUC
rnacentral:rRNA from 1 species